UACGUAGGGUGCAAGCGUUAAUCGGAAUUACUGGGCGUAAAGCGUGCGCAGGCGGUUGUGCAAGACAGAUGUGAAAUCCCCGGGCUUAACCUGGGAAUUGCAUUUGUGACUGCACGGCUAGAGUGUGUCAGAGGGGGGUAGAAUUCCACGUGUAGCAGUGAAAUGCGUAGAGAUGUGGAGGAACACCGAUGGCGAAGGCAGCCCCCUGGGUCAAGACUGACGCUCAUGCACGAAAGCGUGGGGAGUAAACAGG
rnacentral:rRNA from 1 species